rnacentral:rRNA from 1 species
AUGGAAAUUCUUCGUGAUUUUGGCGCAGCCUCGGGGUUGCACAUCAACCCCUCAAAGUCGACGGCCCUACCCAUCAGAUGCGAUAAUAUAGACCUAGGGCACAUACUGCAAAAUUUCGGAGGAAUAGUAGGGAACUUCCCAACGACUUAUCUGGGUCUGCCGCUGACGCUAGCCAGGCUGCGACUCGCGAACCUACAGUUCAUCAUAGAUAGGAUCAAAGCCCGCCUUGCGGGAUGGAAAUGGAAGCUGCUUCCAUUGGCUAGUAGACGUGUGCUGGUUCGAUGCGUCCUCAGCGCCAUGCCGAUGUUCGCUUUGACCGUCCUUCGAGUGCCAAAGAAGUUACUAAAGGAGAUUGACAAGUGCAGGCGCAGAUUCUUAUGGAAGCAAGAUGAGGAGAUCACUGGUGGUAGCUGCAAGGUCAACUGGACAGCUGUUUGCGCUCCCACAUCGCACGGAGGACUGGGCGUCCUCGACCUCGAGCGGUUUUGCCGAGCCCUGAGAUUACGGUGGCUCUAG